CUAAGAUCUUGGGUGGUAGAACACAAAGGGAAUUUACAAGCCCUAAUUGGAAUCAUUUGGAUUACUCUUUGUGCACACACAACACAUACACACAUACUUUCUCUCCAUAUCUACGGAUGUAUCGCCUAUAGAAGAACAAAUCUCUUUCUUUCUGGAUUCCAUUGAGUAUUUUUGGUUCCCAAGAUGCGUUCGAAAGAAGACAACUUCAAGAGGACUGAUUCCUGAUGAAGUAAUUCUUAUAAGCGGAACCUUUGAUUUGGCUUCUGUUUGGAGAUUUUUGGGUUUGUUGCGUCUCUGGACAAGUGCAUCAAAGAGUUCACCGACGAAAGUCUUUCAAGAUGUGUUCGAGCUUUACAAUCUGAACAAAAAUGGAUUGAUUUCAGCGAAGGAGUUGCACCAGAUCUUGAGUCAGUUAGGAGAGAGGUGCACCAUUGAAGAUUGUACGGAUAUGAUAAAAUCGGUGGAUUCCGAUGGCGAUGGUUAUGUGAAUAAUUCACCUUAUGAAACACAUAUAAUUUGUGUUUGAUUUCAUAAGGUGAAAUAACAUAUCAACGGGAACUUAGUUUGA